CGACGAUGGAUAGGGGUUCUGAGAGGAAGGUCCCCCACAUUGGUACUGAGACACGGACCAAACUCCUACGGGAGGCAGCAGUGAGGAAUAUUGGUCAAUGGGCGUAAGCCUGAACCAGCCAAGUCGCGUGAGGGAUGAAGGUUCUAUGGAUCGUAAACCUCUUUUAUAAGGGAAUAAAGUGUGGGACGUGUCCUAUUUUGUAUGUACCUUAUGAAUAAGGAUCGGCUAACUCCGUGCCAGCAGCCGCGGUAAUACGGAGGAUCCGAGCGUUAUCCGGAUUUAUUGGGUUUAAAGGGUGCGUAGGCGGCCUUUUAAGUCAGCGGUGAAAGUCUGUGGCUCAACCAUAGAAUUGCCGUUGAAACUGGGGGGCUUGAGUAUGUUUGAGGCAGGCGGAAUGCGUGGUGUAGCGGUGAAAUGCUUAGAUAUCACGCAGAACCCCGAUUGCGAAGGCAGCCUGCCAAGCCAUGACUGACGCUGAUGCACGAAAGCGUGGGGAUCAAACAGGAUUAGAUACCCUGGUAGUCCACGCAGUAAACGAUGAUCACUAGCUGUUUGCGAUACAGUGUAA
rnacentral:rRNA from 1 species